rnacentral:rRNA from 1 species
GACGAACGCUGGCGGCGUGCUAAUACAUGCAAGUAGAACGCUGAAGAGAGGAGCUUGCUCUUCUUGGAUGAGUUGCGAACGGGUGAGUAACGCGUAGGUAACCUGCCUUGUAGCGGGGGAUAACUAUUGGAAACGAUAGCUAAUACCGCAUAACAAUGGAUGACACAUGUCAUUUAUUUGAAAGGGGCAAUUGCUCCACUACAAGAUGGACCUGCGUUGUAUUAGCUAGUAGGUGAGGUAACGGCUCACCUAGGCGACGAUACAUAGCCGACCUGAGAGGGUGAUCGGCCACACUGGGACUGAGACCACGGCCCAGACUCCCUACGGGAGGCAGCAGUAGGGAAUCUUCGGCAAUGGGGGCAACCCUGACCGAGCAACGCCGCGUGAGUGAAGA